UACGGGGGGGGCAAGCGUUGUUCGGAAUUACUGGGCGUAAAGGGCGCGUAGGCGGCCUGCUAAGUCGGACGUGAAAUCCCUCGGCUCAACCGGGGAACUGCGUCCGAUACUGGCGAGGCUUGAAUCCGGGAGAGGGAUGCGGAAUUCCAGGUGUAGCGGUGAAAUGCGUAGAUAUCUGGAGGAACACCGGUGGCGAAGGCGGCAUCCUGGACCGGCAUUGACGCUGAGGAGCGAAAGCCAGGGGAGCAAACGGG
rnacentral:rRNA from 1 species